rnacentral:rRNA from 1 species
CUACGGGGUGCUCCAGGCGCGGAACCUUUACAAUGCACGAAAGUGUGAUAAGGGGAUCCCAAGUGCCUUGCUUUUAGCAAGGCUUUUGCCAUAUGUAAAAAGUAUGGCGAAUAAGUGGUGGGUAAGACUUGUGCCAGCCGCCGCGGUAACACCAGCGCCACAAGUGGCAACCGCUCUUAUUGGGCCUAAAGCGUCCGUAGCCGGUUCAGUAAAUUUUCUGUGAAAUCGUUGGGCUUAACCUAACGUCGUGCAGGAAAGACUACUGGACUAGGGACCGGGAGGCGUCAGAGGUAUUCUUGAGGGAGCGGUAAAAUGCUAUAAUCUCAGGAGGACCCCCUGUGGCGAAGGCGUCUGACGAGAACGGAUCCAACGGUCAGGGACGAAAGCUAGGGGAGCAAACCGGAUUAGAUACCCGGGUAGGU